rnacentral:lncRNA from 1 species
AUGCUUUUUCUACAUCUUUUGAUGUUAUCAUGUGGUUUUCCUAUUUAAUAUGAUAAUAUGGUAGAUUACAUUGAUUUUUGAUGUAUUCUUUUUAUGAAAUCUGUUCUUUUUAUACAGAUCUUUCUAUAACAAGAUAAAAAAGAAUGGGAUGGAAUACUGUUGUAGAAAAAGGUUCUGAAGCCUUAUUCAAGCUCAGCAGGCAGCAAUGGAGAAUUGAGGAGAGAUACCUAACCUAGGGGCAGGAGGGCAAGUGACUGCCAUACACCUGCAGCCGCCAUCUCAUCCCUCAGUGGUGAUGCAUUCAGUAAAGUGCUGGAAAUACGGUGAUGAACUAGAUAAAGUUCCUGAGCUCCUAGUGAUGAGAUCUACCUUCUGGAAACUUAGGAUCUGCAAUGGCCUCUUCCAGAUGAGCCUCGUCUUCAUUCAAGAUGCACCUCCAGGCUCCUGGACAUCAAUGAAUAAUCUAACAAUAUUGGGAAGAAACAAGCAUGAGGAAUGUGGCCCAAAAGUUGAGAGUAAGACUCAGAGUCAACCCGCCCAUCUCCAAGUAUAAAUGUGCAUCAGAUUAUGAGAACACAAGAGUUCUCUAUUCAAGACUAAAUUUAUCUGCUUUAAAAAAUCCAUCUGGCUUUUGUGUUAUGGAAGCCCACACAAGCCUGCACCAACCGUUCUAGAAGCAACAAAGAGUUAUCAAACGGAGUGAGUUUCAAAUGAAGGGACAGCAAGUUAAUUAAGGCCUGAGUUUCUUAAUAAGGAAUGAAGCACAGUAGAGACUUGAGUGAUGCCAAAACACAUGAAAGUUUCAAAGACUAAAAACAGUUUGUGAGGAAGAAAAAAAGAAGUGACUUGGCCAAUGUUUUAGGUCCUACCCCCAAAAUAAAUACAUCUAUUCCCAUUUGUAUCAACAGACAAAUGUAAAUAUCACUCAAAGAAUCUCAAACUAACAUUAACAUGAGAAUGAAAUAUAAAUAAUUCUGAACAUAAAGCCCAAGUAUAAAACAUACCAAAAUGUAAAUAUAAUAAAACUAGGAAUAACAACAUUACAUUACAUUGAUUGUUAAGAGAUUGUCACUGGUUUUCUUCAGAAACUUCAGGCAGAUUUUCCUCUUCUAUACUAUUCUUGACAAAGUUUAAUUUUCUUUUAACCAAUGGAUGAACAAUGUCCAAUAAAGUGAAAGCUUUCUGCAAAAAAAAUCAUUUUGUUCAAGUGAUCCUGGUACUCACGAAAUGCAUUGUUAUUAGACUUUACUUUUAAUAUUUUAUAUCAAUGUUAAUAG